rnacentral:misc_RNA from 1 species
AACGCACAUUGCGCCCCUUGGUAUUCCGAGGGGCAUGCCUAUUCGAGCGUCAUUAUCACCCCUCAAGCUCCGGCUUGGUGUUGAGGCCUGCUGUAAAGGCACCCUCUGAAAUCAGUGGCAGUGCUGUCAGGCUCUAAGCGUAGUAAUUCUCUCGCUACAGGGUCCUGGUGGACACUCGUCAGAACCCCCCAUUUUUUAAUGAUUGACCUCGGAUUAGGUAGGGAUACCCGCUGAACUUAA